rnacentral:rRNA from 1 species
AUUGAACGCUGGCGGCAUGCCUUACACAUGCAAGUCGAACGGCAGCACGGGAGCAAUCCUGGUGGCGAGUGGCGAACGGGUGAGUAAAGUAUCGGAACGUGCCCAGUCGUGGGGGAUAACGUAGCGAAAGUUACGCUAAUACCGCAUACGAUCAAUGGAUGAAAGCGGGGGAUCGCAAGACCUCGCGCGAUUGGAGCGGCCGAUAUCAGAUUAGGUAGUUGGUGGGGUAAAGGCUCACCAAGCCGACGAUCUGUAGCUGGUCUGAGAGGGCGGACGGCCAGACUGGGACUGAGACACGGCCCAGACUCCUACGGGAGGCAGCAGUGGGGAAUUGUUCGCAAUGGGCGCAAGCCUGACGACGCAACGCCGCGUGGAGGAUGAAGGUCUUCGGAUUGUAAACUCCUGUUGCCCGGGACGAACAGCUUCGACCUAACACGUUGAAGUCUGACGGUACCGGGUGAGGAAGCCCCGGCUAACUCUGUGCCAGCCGCCGCAGUAA